rnacentral:rRNA from 1 species
UACGUAGGGGGCGAGCGUUGUCCGGAAUCAUUGGGCGUAAAGAGCGUGUAGGCGGUUCGGUAAGUCUGCCGUGAAAACCUGGGGCUCAACCCUGGGCGUGCGGUGGAAACUGUCGAGCUAGAGGAUGGUAGAGGGGAGUGGAAUUCCCGGUGUAGCGGUGAAAUGCGCAGAUAUCAGGAGGAACACCGGUGGCGAAGGCGGUUCUCUGGGCCUGUACUGACGCUGAGGAACGAAAGCGUGGGGAGCGAACAGG